AACGAACGCUGGCGGCAUGCCUAACACAUGCGAGUCGAACGAGACCUUCGGGUCUAGUGGCGCACGGGUGCGUAACGCGUGGGAAUCUGCCCUUCGGUUGGGAAUAACUGAGAGAAAUUUCAGCUAAUACCUUAUAAUGUCUUCGGACCAAAGAUUUAUCGCCGAGGGAUGAGCCCGCGUAGGAUUAGGUAGUUGGUGGGGUAAUGGCCUACCAAGCCGACGAUCCUUAGCUGGUCUGAGAGGAUGAUCAGCCACACUGGGACUGAGACACGGCCCAGACUCCUACGGGAGGCAGCAGUGGGGAAUAUUGGACAAUGGGCGAAAGCCUGAUCCAGCAAUGCCGCGUGAGUGAUGAAGGCCUUAGGGUUGUAAAGCUCUUUUACCCGGGAUGAUAAUGACAGUACCGGGAGAAUAAGCGCCGGCUAACUCCGUG
rnacentral:rRNA from 1 species